CAAUAGCGUAUAUUAAAGUUGUUGCAGUUAAAAAGCUCGUAGUUGGAUUUGUGGCGUACGGUGUGUUCCGGGCACUUGUUGUCUGAGUAACCUGCUGUUGCCAUCCUUGGGUGGAACCUGUGUGGCAUUAGGUUGUCGUGCAGGGGAUGCCCAUCAUUUACUGUGAAAAAAUUAGAGUGUUCAAAGCAGGCUUAUGCCGUUGAAUAUAUUAGCAUGGAAUAAUGAGAUAGGACUUUUUUGCUAUUUUGUUGGUUUGCGCAAAGAGGUAAUGAUUAAUAGGGACAGUUGGGGGUAUUCGUAUUCCAUUGUCAGAGGUGAAAUUCCUGGAUUUUUGGAAGACGAACUACUGCGAAAGCAUUUACCAAGGAUGUUUUCAUUAA
rnacentral:rRNA from 1 species